rnacentral:rRNA from 1 species
AGAGUUUGAUAGAGGAAAGCAGAAUUUCUAGUGUAGAGGUGAAAUUCGUAGAUAUUAGAAAGAAUACCAAUUGCGAAGGCAGCUUUCUGGAUCAUUACUGACACUGAGGAACGAAAGCAUGGGUAGCGAAGAGGAUUAGAUACCCUCGUAGUCCAUGCCGUAAACGAUGUGUGUUAGACGUUGGAAAUUUAUUUUCAGUGUCGCAGCGAAAGCGAUAAACACACCGCCUGGGGAGUACGACCGCAAGGUUAAAACUCAAAUGAAUUGACGGGGACCCGCACAAGUAGUGGAGCAUGUGGUUUAAUUCGAAGAUACGCGCAGAACCUUACCAACACUUGACAUGUUCGUCGCGACUCUAAGAGAUUAGAGUUUUCGGUUCGGCCGGACGAAACACAGGUGCUGCAUGGCUGUCGUCAGCUCGUGUCGUGAGAUGUUGGGUUAAGUCCCGCAACGAGCGCAACCCUCACUUUUAGUUGCCAUCAUUAAGUUGGGCACUCUGAAAGAACUGCCAGUGAUAAGCUGGAGGAAGGUGGGGAUGACGUCAAGUCCUCAUGGCCCUUACGUGUUGGGCUACACACGUGCUACAAUGGUAUCUACAACAGGAAGCAAGACUGCGAAGUUAAGCAAAUCCCUAAAAGAUACCUCAGUUCGGAUUGCACUCUGCAACUCGAGUGCAUGAAGCUGGAAUUACUAGUAAUCGUGGAUCAGCGUGCCACGGUGAAUGCGUUCCCGGGUCUUGUACACACCGCCCGUCACACCAUGGGAGUUGGUUCUACCUUAAGGCAAGGUUUUAAACCCUUGACCACGGUAUAGUCAGCGACUGGGGUGAAGUCGUAACAAGGUAGCCGUAGGGGAACCUGCG